rnacentral:rRNA from 1 species
AACGAACGCUGGCGGCAUGCCUAACACAUGCAAGUCGAACGAGACCUUCGGGUCUGGUGGCGCACGCGUGCGUAACGCGGCGGAACCUGCCUUUAGGUUCGGAAUACCUCAGAUACAUGUGAGCUAAUACCGGAUGAUGUCUUCGGACCAAAGAUUUAUCGCCCUUAGAUGGGCCCGCGUUGGUUUAGCUUGUUGGUGGGGUAAAGGCCUACCAAGGAGACGAUCCAUAGCUGGUCUGAGAGGAUGAUCAGCCACACUGGGACUGAGACACGGCCCAGACUCCUACGGGAGGGAGGAGAGGGGAAUACAGGAAAAUGGGGGGAAGCCUGAUGCCGCAAUGGUGCGUGAGUGAUGAAGUUCGUAGGGUUGUAAAGCUCGUUUACCCGCGAUGAUAAUGACAGUAUCGGGAGAAUAAGCACCGGCUAACUCCGUG